rnacentral:rRNA from 1 species
GACGAACCGUGCGAACGUUGUUCGGAAUCACUGGGCUUAAAGGGCGCGUAGGCGGGCUGACAAGUCAGGGGUGAAAUCCCACGGCUCAACCGUGGAAGUGCCUUUGAUACUGCCAGUCUGGAGGGAGGUAGGGGCGUGCGGAACUUCCGGUGGAGCGGUGAAAUGCGUAGAUAUCGGAAGGAACACCGGUGGCGAAAGCGGCGCGCUGGACCUCUACUGACGCUGAGGCGCGAAAGCCAGGGGAGCAAACGGG